UACGUAGGGUGCAAGCGUUAAUCGGAAUUACUGGGCGUAAAGCGUGCGCAGGCGGUCCGUUAAGACAGAUGUGAAAGCCCCGGGCUCAACCUGGGAAUUGCAUUUGAGACUGCGUAGCUAGGGUGCGGAAGAGGGAAGCGGAAUUUCCGGUGUAGCGGUGAAAUGCGUAGAUAUCGGAAGGAACACCAGUGGCGAAAGCGGCUUCCUGGUCCAGCACCGACGUUCAGGCACGAAAGCGUGGGGAGCAAACAGG
rnacentral:rRNA from 1 species